rnacentral:rRNA from 1 species
AACGAACGCUGGCGGCAUGGAUUAGGCAUGCAAGUCGAACGAGGUAGCAAUACCGAGUGGCGGAAGGGUGAGGAACGCGUGAGUAAUCUGCCCUCUAGUUGGGAAUAACAGUUGGAAACGACUGCUAAUACCGAAUGUGGCUGCAAGACCGCAUGGUCUUGCGGCUAAAAGAUUUAUCGCUAGAGGAUGAGCUCGCGUCCCAUUAGCUAGUUGGUGAGGUAACGGCUCACCAAGGCGACGAUGGGUAGCUGGUCUGAGAGGAUGGUCAGCCACACUGGGACUGAGACACUGCCCAGACUCCUACGGGAGGCUGCAGUCGAGAAUCUUGGGCAAUGCGCGAAAAGCGUGACCCAGCAAAUGCCGCGUGCGGGAUGAAGGUCUUCGGAUUGUAAAACCGCUGUCAACCGGACGAACAGAUGACUGUACGUGAAGAAGACACGGCUAACUAACGUGCCAGCAGCGCGGU